GCGGCGGCCGGAGCUGGAGUGGGAGGAGGGGAGGAACCUGAUCCUCCGGUAGCGAAGGGCUGGAGGCAAACACCGAGCUCCCCCAGAGCCGCCCGGGAGCAGGGAGGGCUCCGCUACCCCGAGGGGCCCUCCCCGCGGGGCCGAGGAAUUCAAUGUGCAGUCUCUCUGAGCCGAGCUUUGGGGUCACCUAAGUACCCCAUCCUCCAGAUUCUUCGCAGGCUAUUGGACUUGGAACCCACUCCAUUCUUGAGAACAUGGGGAUUGGAAUAAGCCCCACCCACAGAUAUGAAUCAUCAGUGUCUUCGACUAAGAGGACCAUUAUCCUGUAGCUAAUGACAGAUACAGAGGAGGAGUGGAAAGAAGCCUGAACCAGACCUGUACUCAAAUACCACUUGACAGAUUUCACUAGGAACCAGACGCAGCAGAAUCAGGGCAUAAGGAAGCAAUUUCUACCCAUACAGACUUUAAGACAUAAAAUUGCAGCACAUCACAAACUCUUCAUCCUUGUAUGAAGUGCCCUGCCUCCACACAAACAAGGAUACGAUCUUGGGAUCUGUCACCAAUCAGGCCUCUCUGAAAAGAUGUCAAUAUUUUUAAAACAGAGGAACCAAAAGGAGUGAAGAAAGGAUUGGGGAGUCAUUAGAUUUGGGUUCAAACCGAAGUUCUGCUGAGGAAAAUGUUUCACUGACUGACCUCUUUUUGCGUUCAAAUGAAGAAAAGUCAACAAUAAAAUUUCUUGGGAAUGUAAGCAGGACAUAACUUUUGAGCCUGAGGUAUAAAUAAUGAUGAAUUCUGUGUCUUUCUUGUUAUACUAUACCCGAUGAAUUAGAGUUUUUGAAACAAAAUAAAAGAAUAUUAAUGCAACA